UACGUAGGGUGCGAGCGUUGUCCGGAUUUAUUGGGCGUAAAGGGCUCGUAGGCGGCGUGUCGCGUCGGGAGUGAAAGACCGGGGCUUAACCCCGGUUCUGCUUCCGGUACGGGCAUGCUGGAGUUUGGCAGGGGAGACUGGAAUUCCUGGUGUAGCGGUGGAAUGCGCAGAUAUCAGGAGGAACACCGAUAGCGAAGGCAGCUCGCUGGGACGGUACUGACGCUGAGGUGCGAAAGCGUGGGGAGCGAACAGG
rnacentral:rRNA from 1 species